GAAUGGUCCAGCAUUUGACAUACUGCCGUAGGCUUUCCUACAAUUCAGUCUCUAACAAAACUAGGCUGUCCCGAAUACCUGGUAAUAGAAUUGUUUACCUUUAUACCAGGAAGGUUGGGAAAGCACCAAAAUCCGCAUGUGGGCAUGUGUCCAGGAAGACUUCAUUUUGAAGUUUGUGCUGUGAGACCUAAAGUUCCUAUGAGAUUGCCCCCAAACAAAAAACAUGUCAGCAGGGCCUCCGGUGGUUGUGUGUGUUCUAGGUGUGUUCAUGACAGGAUCAAGAGUGAUUUCCUUAUCGAGCGGCAGAAAACCAUUGCGAAAGUGUUGAAGGCACAAGCACAGUCAGAAAGCUAAAUAA
rnacentral:lncRNA from 1 species